GUUUUAGUAUCUGAAUAGUUACCUUCGACUAUGGAUUGGUUUCAGACCAUACGGUCUGACACUAGUUUGUUUUGUUUUUUCUAUUAUCUUUUCAGGUGAUAUCAGAUGAUUGUGUAACUUAGAGAAGGCACUUGGUGGGGACGUUAGGAUGUAUGAUGGAACUACU